UGAAAAUAUAAACAUAUACGUCAGAUUCAUUCUAUCCACCGAGACCAACAAAAUUACGCAAUCAUAAACAGUUUUCCUAAUUUUUACUCGGAAAUCAGCAAGCCAGUUCCGUGCUCCAUCAUAUUUCGGAAUCAUAUUAAUCAGAAAAAUCAUGGACAGCGGAAGAACAGGCCACUCGUUGAAGGGUUUGCCGCUGUGACCCUCGCAACCAGGUAAAAACUCGUCCGUUAAUCGCCUGAGUUAAUGGGAAUGGUGAUCCUCUGUAAGCUGUAACGCCCCGCAGAAUUCCCUCCUAUCAUCAAUCGCCUGCUACCACCUCAAAGCCACCGUUCCUUCCGGCCAGUACUGAGGGAGUUAUAGAAGGCUGCUAUCGGAACCGAGAUCAGAACGAUAGCAUUAGCGAUUUUCCGAGUGUUUGACAUGACAUCUCUUCCUAUUCUGCGGCAAAACAAUUUAGCGGUUUCUCAUCAGAAGUGUCCAAACAGUUCGUGGGUCAAUGGCAUCGAGCAGCAGCGAGGACAAAGAGCUGGAAUCGUGGCUAAUGAGUUGCACGGGCAUCCAGUUUCAACGGAGACACCCAAACAAGCACACCACCCGGAGCCCUGACAGUCCAUCAAGAGACCCCGAAACGAACACAAGAAUGCCGGAUGUGCCUAGCAGCAGUCACCGUACUCGCCGGAUACAGUUGACAUGUUGCUAUCUUGGUCCAUGUAGUAAGCGGAAAUCUCCAGCCUCAUCACAAUGCCUGCCCCACCUACAAGCCAUAUUCCUGAUUCAAGGUUUAUUCUUGUUUUUGUUUCUGUCAACUACUCUUAAAAUUACUGGUGCUGUUCCGUCUUACUAAUUUAAUUCUAGUGUAAGUUAAUCAAUAAAUUAUAAUUUCAACGUUUUAUAUCUCAAUAAAUUUACAUGAU